rnacentral:lncRNA from 1 species
AUGCCCAAGAGUAAGGUAAGGGAGGUAAAAACAGAUGCAGGAGAACCCCAAAAAGGAGAGUUGGUAUAUAAAGGGGAUAGACAAGAGUAGGUAAUCAAAAUGAAGGAAAACAGAUGAUUAGAAUCAAUGUGCUUUGAUGGUGUAAAGAGGUUAUGUCAUAUGAGAGGAAAAUUGAGAAAAAAGAAGUGAAUAAAUACCUCAGACAUUAUACUGGUUGGUCUGUGAGACUAUUAGGAUAACAAAUCUGAUGUUAUUUUAAAAUACCAUGCACAUGAAGCUAGAAGUCUAAAGGCAUAUGGCAAGUUUCUAGAAUCUGCUAAAAUCAAUAAAACCAAUAUACUUGGUCCUAGAGAUGAUAAAAUCCAGUAUCUUAUGAUACUCAAGAUGAUGAUAAAGAUCUUGAUGAUAUCUAA